AUGAUUGAGAGAGGAAUUUUAAUGGGGCCUGUGAUCAUUUGCAAAGCAUAAAAACUUGUUUCAGAGAAGAUAAGGUCUUUGUGUACAUGUGACUCAUACCAGAUAUUGGAUUUCACAGAUCAUGUGUCUGGACAGACUGCUUGUCAAACUUGCUGGAAGGUUGAUGCAUCUUGAUCCUUGCGAAAGGAGUGUAUGAAAACCCAUUUUUAUACAAAAGGGGUAUUUUCUCUUGCAUUUAAUCUUUACAUCAUGAGUUAUUGCAUUGAAUCUGCUUUUGGUACCUUGGAGAAUAUUUGUGCUUCUAUUUUCUGAUAUAUUUGCUUUAACUGUUGCUUUGCAUGUUUGCUUGAAGAUGGAAACAAGAAGUUGAAUUAUGUGAUGUCAUCACAAAUGGGUAUGUAGUGUCACUGAAUGUUACAAAAAGAAAGGGCAUGAAGUAAUUGUAAAGCAGUCAUGGUAUUCUAAUAUCCGUUCUGUCUAGAUGGAACAUUACAACAGAGCCUGUGUCUCUGCUCUUCUACGGAUUUAGCAAAAGAAUGUUGAAAAGGUUCUCAAUUGCUUGCUACGCCAGAGGUCCAUGACAGGAAUAAAGUAUAUGAACUUGAGAAAUCCUCCAUUCUCAAGUUGAUGGUUCAAUCUCACUACCAAGAAGACAAAAUGGGGCUAACAAGCUGCACCUGGCAAGAUCUAAAUUUGGAUUCUGAUGAGAAUAACCGAGUUGUUCUAAAUGCCUAGUCUUUAUGUGUAGAUGAUCUAUGUUACAAGCAUUCCCAGUGCUUUAUGUUGAGUUUGGAGUAUGGAAAAUCAGAGUUUAGAUUGGAUUUUUUUCAUAAUAAAACAGGAUGAGAGAGAAGUCAUCCGUGUAACAAUACCGAGAGAAUGGCUAUAACAUUGUGUCAAGUGUUCUGAUAAAUGGUUGCAUCCAAG